GGUUGCGAUCAUACCAGCACUAAUGCACCGGAUCCCAUCAGAACUCCGCUGUUAAGCGUGUUUGGGCGAGAGUAGUACUAGGAUGGGUGACCCCCUCGGAAGUCCUCGUGUUGCAACCC
rnacentral:rRNA from 1 species